GUCCAUUUAGUGUAACGGUUAGCACGCAAUGCUGUGAACAUUGAAGAAUGGGUUCGACUCCCAAAUGUAACC
rnacentral:tRNA from 1 species